GACGAACGCUGGCGGCGUGCUUAACACAUGCAAGUGGAGCGACGAACCAGGGCUUGCCCUGGGGCAGAGCCGCGAACGGGUGAGUAACACGUGGGUAACGUGCCCCGAUGAUCGGGACAACCCGGGGAAACCCGGGCUAAUACCGAAUGUGCUCCCCUCACACCAGUGAGGGAUGGAAAGGAAGCUUCGGCCUCCGCAUCGGGAUCGGCCCGCGGCCCAUUAGCUUGUUGGUGAGGUAACGGCUCACCAAGGCUGCGAUGGGUAGCUGGUCUGAGAGGACGAUCAGCCACACUGGGACUGAGACACGGCCCAGACUCCUACGGGAGGCAGCAGUGGGGAAUCUUGCGCAAUGCGCGAAAGCGUGACGCAGCAACGCCGCGU
rnacentral:rRNA from 1 species